rnacentral:rRNA from 1 species
GUGGCGAACGGGUGAGUAACACGUGAGCAACCUGCCCCUGACUCUGGGAUAAGCGCUGGAAACGGCGUCUAAUACUGGAUACGAGACGUGACCGCAUGGUCAACGUUUGGAAAGAUUUUUCGGUUGGGGAUGGGCUCGCGGCCUAUCAGCUUGUUGGUGAGGUAAUGGCUCACCAAGGCGUCGACGGGUAGCCGGCCUGAGAGGGUGACCGGCCACACUGGGACUGAGACACGGCCCAGACUCCUACGGGAGGCAGCAGUGGGGAAUAUUGCACAAUGGGCGGAAGCCUGAUGCAGCAACGCCGCGUGAGGGAUGACGGCCUUCGGGUUGUAAACCUCUUUUAGCAGGGAAGAAGCGAAAGUGACGGUACCUGCAGAAAAAGCGCCGGCUAACUACGUGCCAGCAGCCGCGGUAAUACGUAGGGCGCAAGCGUUAUCCGGAAUUAUUGGGCGUAAAGAGCUCGUAGGCGGUUUGUCGCGUCUGCUGUGAAAUCUGGGGGCUCAACCCCCAGCCUGCAGUGGGUACGGGCAGACUAGAGUGCGGUAGGGGAGAUUGGAAUUCCUGGUGUAGCGGUGGAAUGCGCAGAUAUCAGGAGGAACACCGAUGGCGAAGGCAGAUCUCUGGGCCGUAACUGACGCUGAGGAGCGAAAGGGUGGGGAGCAAACAGGCUUAGAUACCCUGGUAGUCCACCCCGUAAACGUUGGGAACUAGUUGUGGGGUCCAUUCCACGGAUUCCGUGACGCAGCUAACGCAUUAAGUUCCCCGCCUGGGGAGUACGGCCGCAAGGCUAAAACUCAAAGGAAUUGACGGGGACCCGCACAAGCGGCGGAGCAUGCGGAUUAAUUCGAUGCAACGCGAAGAACCUUACCAAGGCUUGACAUAUACGAGAACGGGCCAGAAAUGGUCAACUCUUUGGACACUCGUAAACAGGUGGUGCAUGGUUGUCGUCAGCUCGUGUCGUGAGAUGUUGGGUUAAGUCCCGCAACGAGCGCAACCCUCGUUCUAUGUUGCCAGCACGUAAUGGUGGGAACUCAUGGGAUACUGCCGGGGUCAACUCGGAGGAAGGUGGGGAUGACGUCAAAUCAUCAUGCCCCUUAUGUCUUGGGCUUCACGCAUGCUACAAUGGCCGGUACAAAGGGCUGCAAUACCGCGAGGUGGAGCGAAUCCCAAAAAGCCGGUCCCAGUUCGGAUUGAGGUCUGCAACUCGACCUCAUGAAGUCGGAGUCGCUAGUAAUCGCAGAUCAGCAACGCUGCGGUGAAUACGUUCCCGGGUCUUGUACACACCGCCCGUCAAGUCAUGAAAGUCG